UGUAGGAGUGAGCCUGCUCGCGAUAGCGGUGUGUCAGUUAACCAUUUGCUGACUGACACACCGCUAUCGCGAGCAGGCUCACUCCUACA
rnacentral:misc_RNA from 1 species